CACGUAGGCGGACUUCUAAGUCAGAUGUGAAAUCCCGGGGCUCAACCUCGGAACUGCAUUUGAAACUGGAAGUCUGGAGUUCAGGAGAGGUUAGCGGAAUACCGAGUGUAGAGGUGAAAUUCGUAGAUAUUCGGUGGAACACCAGUGGCGAAGGCGGCUAACUGGACUGAUACUGACGCUGAGGUGCGAAAGUGUGGGGAGCAAACA
rnacentral:rRNA from 1 species